rnacentral:tRNA from 1 species
AACUUUUCACGUUAUAGGUUUAGGUUANACCCCUAACAAGAAUCC